ACUACGGGUGGCUGCAGUGAGGAAUAUUGGUCAAUGGCCGGAAGGCUGAACCAGCCAAGCCGCGUGAAGGACGAAGGUGCCAAGCAUUGUAAACUUCUUUUGUCAAGGGACAAAAUCAGGCUCGAGAGCCUGACCGAGGGGACUUGAAGAAAAAGCAUCGGCUAACUCCGUGCCAGCAGCCGCGGUAAUACGGAGGAUGCGGGCGUUAUCCGGAUUUAUUGGGUUUAAAGGGAGCGUAGGGGAAUUGUUAAGUCAGUUGUGAAAGUUUGCGGCUCAACCGUAAAAUUGCUGUUGAAACUGGGAGGCUGGAGUACAGUAGAGGUGGGCGGAAUUCGUGGUGUAGCGGUGAAAUGCUUAGAUAUGACGAAGAACCCCGAUUGCGAAGGCAGCUUGCUGCAGCGGAACUGACGCUGAUGCUCGAAAGCGCGGGUAUCGAACAGGAUUAGAUACCCGUGUAGUC
rnacentral:rRNA from 1 species